AUUGAACGCUGGCGGCGUGCCUAAUACAUGCAAGUCGAGCGAACGGAUGAGUAACGCGUAGGUAACUACCUAUUAGAGGGGGAUAACUAUUGGCAACGAUAGCUAAUACCGCAUACUAGUAGAUGGACCUGCGUUGUAUUAGCUAGUAGGUAGGGUAAUGGCCUACCUAGGCAACGAUACAUAGCCGACCGGAGCGGGUGCUCGGCCACACUGGGACUGCGACACGGCCCAGACGCCUACGGGAUGCAGCAGUAGGGAAUCUUCGGCAAUGGGGGGAACCCUGACCGAGCAACGCCGCGUGAGUGAAGAAGGUUUUCGGAUCGUAAAGCUCUGUUGUUAAGGAAGCGUUACUUAACCAGAAAGGGACGGCUAACUACGUGCCAGCAGCCGCGGUAAUAC
rnacentral:rRNA from 1 species